GACGAACGCUGGCGGCGUGCUUAACACAUGCAAGUCGAACGGAAAGGCCAUGCUUUUGUGGGGUGCUCGAGUGGCGAACGGGUGAGUAACACGUGAGUAACCUGCCCUUGACUUUGGGAUAACUUCAGGAAACUGGGGCUAAUACCGGAUAGGAGCUCCUGAUGCAUGGUGGGGGUUGGAAAGUUUCGGCGGUUGGGGAUGGACUCGCGGCUUAUCAGCUUGUUGGUGGGGUAGUGGCUUACCAAGGCUUUGACGGGUAGCCGGCCUGAGAGGGUGACCGGCCACAUUGGUACUGAGAGACGGCCCAGACUCCUACGGGAGGCAGCAGUGGGGAAUAUUGCACAAUGGGCGGAAGCCUGAUGCAGCAACGCCGCGUGCGGGAUGACGGCCUUCGGGUUGUAAACCGCUUUCGCCUGUGACGAAGCGUGAGUGACGGUAAUGGGUAAAGAAGCACCGGCUAACUACGUG
rnacentral:rRNA from 1 species